rnacentral:rRNA from 1 species
UACGUAGGGGGCAAGCGUUGUCCGGAAUUAUUGGGCGUAAAGAGCGCGUAGGCGGUCCGGUAAGUCGGCUGUGAAAGUCAAGGGCUCAACCCUUGAAAGCCGGCCGAUACUGUCGGACUAGAGUCCGGAAGAGGCGAGUGGAAUUCCCGGUGUAGCGGUGAAAUGCGCAGAUAUCGGGAGGAACACCAAUGGCGAAGGCAGCUCGCUGGGACGGUACUGACGCUGA